GCCAGACUCCUACGGGAGGCAGCAGUGGGGGAUAUUGCACAAUGGGGGGAACCCUGAUGCAGCGACGCCGCGUGGGUGAAGAAGCGCCUCGGCGCGUAAAGCCCUGUCAGCAGGGAAGAAAAUGACGGUACCUGAAGAAGAAGCCCCGGCUAACUACGUGCCAGCAGCCGCGGUAAUACGUAGGGGGCAAGCGUUACCCGGAUUUACUGGGUGUAAAGGGGGCGCAGACGGCGAUGCAAGCCAGGAGUGGAAGCCCGGGGCCCAACCCCGGGACUGCUCUUGGAACUGCGUGGCCGGAGUGCCGGAGAGGCAGGCGGAAUUCCUAGUGUAGCGGUGAAAUGCGUAGAUAUUAGGAGGAACACCAGUGGCGAAGGCGGCCUGCUGGACGGUGACUGACGCUGAGGCUCGAAAGCGUGGGGAGCAAACAGGAUUAGAUACCCGAGUAAG
rnacentral:rRNA from 1 species